GGUACAUCAAACUUGUGGGCUCAUUUGAAAGUUUGUGUUAAGUAUGCAUAUGCAAUCAGUCAUGAUUCUAGCCAAACAGUCCUUGCAUUUACCCCUGGUAUGACUGGUGAGUUGACAGCUGCAAGCCUUAGAUAUGAUGCGGAAACAUGUAGGAAAGCUGUGGCCAUGUUUGUCAUCUUAGAUGAACACCCUUUUAGUGUAGUUGAGGGUAUUGGUUUCAAAUUACUCAUUAACAAAAUUCAGCCCCAAAUGACUGUCCCUUCUAGAUUUACUGUGACUAGGGAUUGUUACCAACUCUACCUUGAUGAAAAAGUGAGGUUGAGAACUGGUUGAAGCCUUCUCUUUACCAAUUCAAAGAUCAAGACCUUGAUGAGGAGUGGGAGCUUAAUGAUGAGAUUGUGGCAGGUAUUGUUGUUUUGUUCUCUUUUAUUAUGUGUUAUACUAUUGUUUUUUUUUUAUAAAUUUUAAUCUAUUCUUUCACUUCCUUUUCAUAUGACCAAAAAUUACAAGCAGCAGCAAGUUCUAUGACCCCAGGUGGAUCAGCUUCAGCAGCUGGAACAUCCUCUCAGCCAAUGAAUAUUGGCUGAAAGCGCAACUUAAAAGUGUACAAUUUCCCUUGAACUUUUUAAUCUUUCCUUUAAGUACUCAAGUUAGCCAAUUCUGAUGUGCUUAUUUAUUUUAUGUAUCUGUUACAGGUGCCUGACUUUUUUGGAGUCAUUUGCAGGUCAAAUGACUCACUAUAAUAUUAUAUAAUAUAUGUAGGUUAUUUUGCAAGCAUUGUAGAAGGUUGUAAUGAACCUGUUUUUUGGGAGGUUGAAUCACCUAUGUUGAACAUGAUUUUUUUGGUGGGGCAGCAGCAAGGACUCUUAAGGAUGUGCACUAAAUUAAUCACAACAUGUUGCUUUUUGAAAGACUUGUUGGGACACUUGGAUAGAGGAUGAAUCUGAUUGCUGAUGAGAUGAUAAAGAAGCUUAUGAAGGACAUGGAAAACAUUUCUUCAUUCCUUGUUGGG